rnacentral:misc_RNA from 1 species
GAUGAAGAACGUAGCGAAAUGCGAUAAGUAGUGUGAAUUGCAGAAUUCAGUGAAUCAUCGAAUCUUUGAACACACAUUGCGCCCCUUGGUAUUCCAUGGGGCAUGCCUGUUCGAGCGUCAUUUGUACCCUCAAGCUAAGCUUGGUGUUGGGUGUUUGUCCACUCCCUCGUGUUUGGACUCGCCUUAAAACAAUUGGCAGCCAGUGUUUUGGUAUUGAAGCGCAGCACAAUUUGCGAUUCUAGCCUAGAAUACUAGCAUCCAUCAAGUCAUUUUUAACGCUUGACCUCGGAUCAGGUAGGGAUACCCGCUGAACUUAAGCAUAUCAAUAAGCGGAGGA